AUACGAAGGGGGCUAGCGUUGUUCGGAAUUACUGGGCGUAAAGCGCGCGUAGGCGGACUGAUCAGUUGGGGGUGAAAUCCCAGGGCUUAACCCUGGAACUGCCUCCAAUACUGUCAGUCUUGAGUUCGGGAGAGGUGAGUGGAAUUCCUAGUGUAGAGGUGAAAUUCGUAGAUAUUAGGAAGAACACCAGUGGCGAAGGCGGCUCACUGGCCCGCUACUGACGCUGCGGCGCGAAAGCGUGGGGAGCAAACAGGAUUAGAAACCCUAGUAGUCC
rnacentral:rRNA from 1 species